CUCCGCAUUAGUAUGAAAUUCAGAAAUUAUCUUGUUAUCUUUGCCCACUAGCAUUUUCUAGACUAAUAAUGGUAGUGCAGAUUUCAGCUAGAGCUUGCAGAGUUUUAAAAUAUGUUGACCAAAUCGUUUCUUCAAAACCUGGUUCACAAAUACUAUAAUCUUGCUAUUGGCUUCUAUGAGUGUGGCUGGACUGAAUCCUUCCACUUUGCUCAUAGGUGAGGACUCUUAUCAAAGGAACAAAUAAUUGGUCUUUCAUUCUUCAAGAAAGUUAUAUUUCAAAAGAAAAAAUAUAUGAAAAUAUGUCAUAGAACAUUGCUAACUGUGAUUCCCCAUGUGUCUUAGCAUUUUAGGUGGAAUGGUGAAUCUUGAAGCGAAAGUACCAAACGGUACGAGCACUUUCUGGCCCUAUAGCUUGAGUUGAAGCCUGGGAUGAAGGUCGUUUUUCUUAUGAAGAUCAAAUAACCCAUGGUUUUGGAUGUCAAGUGUGGAAUAGGCAGACCAUUAAGAGAAAUUCCAAGAUUUAGGUUUAAUUCCCGUUUCGCGCUUUCACCUCUCUUCAUAUCUGUGAAUACUGAUGUGUUCGGGUUUAGACUUUCUCAUAUGCAUGAUUAAUGCAACUGAAGUGAUUCAUGUUUUUCUUACUUUGAACUGAAAACCUGUGGGGGCAUGAUUUUGAGGAGGCGAUCCCGAGCACCAAUAAGUUAGAGAAGUUCGACCUCAACCUUUCCAGGAAUUAAUCUAUUUUGGAACGGAGGUCGCCACCAAGAACGGGUAACAUGGAGGCGUGCCUUAGCCUGGAGCCCAGCAAGAAGAUCAUCGGGAGCUUCGGGACAUUUGAGACGGCCGUUCUCCAUGUGGCCAACGCCAGCCAGCUGCAGGCAUUGCGCCGGCCUCGGCAGGAGUCGGUCAAGCCCAAUGGCCAACUUGCAUUUUCACGUCAAGCAUGGCUGAUUAUCAGAGGGCAAGGAAAGAUGGAGUAGCAGAAGCAUUGCUUACGAUGAGUUCAUCGGGUCAAUAGUGCACAUUAACAAGCAUUGCCUGUUGUCCGCCUUCGCCUACUUUGACGAGGACGAUAGCGGGUACAUCACCGUUGACCGCUGGAAGAGGUGUGCUGGGAGUACAACACAAGCUGACCGGCAUCGCGACAUCGCCAGGGAGGAUGUUCAAAUUGACUAUGGAGAGUAUAUGACAACUCAUGCAGGUUCGUAAUGACUUGAAGAAAGCAUAUGAGAAGCGAGUAUAGGAGCUUUAAUAUUAGAGCAACAGGGGAGGAGCAAAUGAUUGAAGGGCUAUCAGCCGUGUAAAAGAAAGCUGAGGAUAACGUCGGUGGAAAACUAUAUUUGGUUGACAUAAUAACACUAGCAAAGAAGUAUAGACGUUGAUGCAAAUGUAUGGAGCAGGGUAACCAACAGAUCCACACAUUUGGUCAGUGAUGAAUCAGUGCAACCUAUUGUGGGAGGGGAGGAUUUUCGAUCUGAGUAUGUCAGAGAGGAGGAGCAAGACAGAAUUAAUAAGGCAAUAAUUGUUUCCCUUUUAGUUUGGAUCUCUGUUGCUUCAUGAUGAUAUUAUCUAACUGAUGAAAAGGGAACGUUGUACGUGACUGAUGAAAGAGUUGUUUCGCCUCACCAGGCAAGAAACUUUUGACCAUCCCUGCAAUGUAUUUUCAUAGUGCCCUUGUAUAAGUAAAUGGAAAGAAUUCUGAAUGAUGAAGAGUGUCUUAUUGCAUUAGUUUUGUUAUAUCUGCAGAGUGCGCACAUGACUUUCUUCCCUGCCUUUACUUACUAAUGAAAAAUAAACAGCAAUGCAUGUUAUCUUUACUAAAUAAUAACACUAAGUAGGAAUUCAGAAUAAUAACAUAUUAAUAACAACGGGUAGGAAUUCUGAAUAAAAAUAGUGCAUGAGAAAUAUGGCAUGCACCUUAACAUAGAAAUGUCCUUUUCAAUUGCUCGGAUGUUAAUGUUGCAAAUGUUCUUUUCUUGUUCUCUUAAUAAUGGUUUCAGACAGAGAGUUGCGCCCAUGUUGUAUGCCAACAUUGGUCCUUAGAUUAGUCAAUUUUUGUUGCAGCAUAUGUUCUCUAUAGAUUUUUUUAGAAUGUCUAUGAAGUUUCAUCUGCAAGCUUUUGAUCCAAAUGGCUACAUCCUUAUAAGGCUAUUUCUUGUUUGUAAGAUGAAUAGUCUAUGUCAAGACUCAAGACUCAAGAGAAGCAAGAGUGCAUAGCAGUAGCAGUUGUUCAACCAAGGUUAUCAAUACAAUGAACGAGGGAGGCCGAUCACUGCACCCCGUGGCUGCAUUUUUUUGGUGAUUGCUAUCAAUGGCGUGCAAAUCCUAUUUUACUUCAUUUGUGCACUGUCCUAGGGAAGCUAAUAUUGUUGCACAUGGAUUAGCUAAGUUGGCUAAAGGCCCUUCUUGUAACAGUUUCCUUGAUAAGUCUCCUGGGGAGCUCAUCCCUCUCUUGCUAAAUGAUGUAGCAUUGAUCACAAGGUUAUAAAUAUAGAGACAUGUUAUCAAAAAUUAUAAUCGUACACAGUCUCGUUAAAAAACCCGCAAA